UAAAUCUCAGAUGUGAAAACGCUGAGAGAAUUAUUAGAACUCUCUCUCAGAGCCUCACAGAGACAUAGUCACUGUUGUCUCAGAACAGAGACUCCAACUCUUUCUUGCAUACAUUAUUGUAUCACAGGACUACAAACAAAUUUAAACGAGAUUGGAGAUCUUGUUGGUACCUUUUGGGGACUUCUAUUAUUUGUAAAUCCCUGAAGGAAAGGAUGAAAAGAGGGUCAGAGCUGACUUUGAACGUCAGACAUCUUUUGAAAAGGACUCAGGAUGAGGUGGACAGCAGCACUUCCUCAGCUCUCCUGACACAUACCUUUUGUUGAGGGCCCGAGAAUGAACCCAGUAACCCGAGACGAGGCAUGGUCACUUGAGAAGAUGGUGGCUGACCGGCAGUAUGCUGCUAGCAUUCCCCAUGAAGAAGAUAUUUUAGCAUUGGAUUGUGUUUGCUUUAAAGGUCUUGACCAUCAGAUAGAUAUUGCUUUAGGUUUGCCGCUUUUUAGCGUAAAAGACACCAUCGUAUAUAUAAAUAUUUUGUGUGCAAAGAAUAUACACCUUUUUUUUGUCAGUAUUCUGAAAUGAAUUAAAUUUGAAUUUAUUUGCAUUUA